rnacentral:tRNA from 1 species
CAAAAAAUAGUUUAGUAAAAAUUCUAGUUUUGGGGGCUAGAGACAAGGUUUUGGCCUUUUUUUUGA